rnacentral:antisense_RNA from 1 species
AGAGGAGGCCGCUGUGAGCCGGCGACGCGAGGCUGGGGGAGUGGGAGGCAAACCCGCUAACCUGUCGUCGAAUGGCCACUCCCAGUUCUCCGCUCACGAGGGUGGAAAGGCAGAAGGCUUGAAGAGCUGGAAGACAGCUGUUCCUGGAUCACACCAGAAUGGAGAAGCAAGCUCCUCCCACUAGCAGAAAGCCUUUGCUUUCUGUGCCUGGAUUCGGAAGAUUAGUUAAGCACUGGAAGAGGAGGGGGGAAACAACAACUCGUUUUUGCUAUUUCCACCUGUUCCCAUCCUCCACAGUCUCCCAUCCCACCAGCAACACACGUGAGAUAUCUGAUGCCUUCCCAUCAAUAACUCUCACUUAGUAUGGGUAAGCAAAAAAUUUCCAACCAGGGAUGGAAGUUGUGGAGAGAUAGAGUGGGAAAGCUCAAGGAGCAUUGAUAGGGAUCAUUAAUUAAAAAUCUACCAAACAUCUCUUUCUCUCCCUAAUGUGCGAGUUACAAUAACAUCACUCAAAGCAGUUUGCAGCCACAGCUUGAAGAAAUACAGUAACAAUGACAGAAUUAACAUUCACUAUCUUUAUUAACAUUUUUACUUUCUUAAACCUUGUUUCUUUCAAAAGACACUGGCAUAGUCCUGUAUGAAUUAUGUGGAUUUGCCAAGAGAAAAAAAUAAAAUGAUACAACAAAUGG